rnacentral:lncRNA from 1 species
CGAGCGCGACGUUCUCCCGGCGCCGCGGAGGGGCAGGUUCUCGGUGCGGCCUCGCCAGGCGCCCCCGCAGCCUCCACUCCAGCUCCACGUGGCCCCUCCUCCGCCCCGGGCUCCGCGCUCUGCAAAGCCGCGGCCCCUUCGCACCGGACUCCCGCCCCGUCUCCCGCCCCGGCCCCGUCGUCGGUGACUGAGCGGCCCCCGGAGCUCCCGGGGCAAAGGCGAGACUCGCACGUCGCACCUCGCCCUUCGCGGGCAACGGCCCGAGCGACAGUCCCCGGAGCGGGGCGCGGGUGCGCUCUCCGGGGGCGCGCGGGGGUCGCCCAGGACCGGGAACCGCAGGACUCACGCGGGUCCCGCGCUCCCCCGCCCGGCCCGGCUCCAGCCCGCGGCCCCGGCCCCGCCGCCCGCCCCGCCCCAGGCCCCGCCCCGGACCGUUCUAUAAAGUUCCUCUUUCCCACCUCGCGCUCUCAGUUCCACCGCUCGGGCUCGACCCACCGCUGCCCUCAGCUCCGAGUCCAGGGCGAGGUAAGGCUGGAGGCGGCCGGAGGAGGGUGCGAGCCGGAGGUUCCGUCUCCAGGGCAGCGCGGGGUACCCGGCUUCGGGGCGGGCAGGGAGCGCGCCCGGUCCCGGAGCCCCGACUCCCCCCAUCCGCGCCGAGCGGGGGCUCCAGGGUCCACCCGGAGCGCGGCCCGAGCCCCGUCCGCUCUGCCCGCUCCCGCGCUGGGGUCGCCACAGGCUGGACGGGAGGAGCUCACGGGACUGUCGGGCCCAGGAGUGGCUGAGGCGGGGCCGUCCAAGGCACCCACGCGAGACGGCACAAUUGCCCGCGAGAAACAGCGCCGAGCCUGUGGACCCCGGUCCGAAGCUCCUUCCCCUGCUCUCCGUUCCCAGGGGGCCCAAACUCACCGCGCCCGCCAGGGCAGGAGGAGGACGCGCUGCACACUCGGGUCGCCCCGAGCCCGGCGUGCGCUGGCCCAGCCGGCCUGGCGCGGUCCUGCCUCCCCGGCUCCGCUCUCCCGGGCCUGCUCCGGGGUCGCGCGGGCGCUCUGCACGCGGAAUCCCCGGCCACUGGGCUGCAGCCCCCGCGUCGCCGCCACUUGUUUGCAGAGCCCACUCGGUCCUCGCUGGCUGGGCGGGGAUGGGGCCCUGUUCGGGGCGAAGGGUCUGGGUGCCAGCAGAGAAGGCGGAGGGUGGAGGAGCCCGGUGCUGCGCCCCUGGAACGCCCGGCCGCAGGCGAGGUCCCGGGGCGUGGAAAGUGACAGAGUGGCGGGGACGGGGCUAAAACGGUUUGGGAGUGAGCGAGGAGAAGCCAGAGCUACCGGGGAGUGCGGACGGGGGGCCGGAGGGGGCGGCUGGAGGGCGGAGGGUGCAAAACCAGCGGCGUGUGUCGGGAGCCUUUGGGCCGCGGGUGCGUCCCAGGAGCGCACAGGUGGAGCCGCGGGCAGGGGCCUUCGCGGGGGCCGAGCUCGGAAGGCG